rnacentral:rRNA from 1 species
GGAUUAGAUACCCUGGUAGUCCUAGCCGUAAACGAUGAGCACUAAGUAGGGGCCCUCCCAAGGGGUCCCUGCCGUAGCUAAUGUGUUAAGUGCUCCGCCUGGGGAGUAUGGUCGCAAGGCUAAAACUCAAAGGAAUUGACGGGGGCUCACACAAGCGGUGGAGCAUGUUGUUUAAUUCGAUGCAACGCGAAGAACCUUACCUGGGCUUGACAUCUACGUGGUACCAAACCGAAAGGGGCGGGACCUCCUUUGGGGGAGCGUAGACAGGUAUUGCAUGGCUGUCGUCAGCUCGUGCCG